GAUGAACGCUGACAGAAUGCUUAACACAUGCAAGUCGACUUGAACUUCGGUUUGGGUGGCGGACGGGUGAGUAACGCGUACAGAACUUGCCUCACAGAUAGGGACAACAUUUGGAAACGAAUGCUAAUACCUGAUAUUAUGAUUAUAUGGCAUCGUAUAAUUAUGACAGCUAUAUGCGCUGUGAGAGAGCUUUGCGUCCCAUUAGCUAGUUGGAGAGGUAACGGCUCACCAAGGCGAUGAUGGGUAGCCGGCCUGAGAGGGUGAUCGGCCACAAGGGGACUGGGACACGGCCCGUACGCCAACGGGAGGCAGCAGUGGGGAAUAUUGGACAAUGGACCAAGAGUCUGAUGCAGCAAUUCUGUGUGCACGAUGAAGUUUUUCGGAAUGUAAAGUGCUUUCAGUUGGGAAGAAAAAAAUGGCGGUACCAACAGAAGAAGUGACGGCUAAAUACGUG
rnacentral:rRNA from 1 species